CAUAUCUGUAGUCCUCCUUAUUG
rnacentral:piRNA from 1 species